GAGGGUAUAGCUCAGUGGUAGAGUGCUAUGCUUAGCAGAGAUCCUGGGUUCAAUCCUCAGUACCUCCA
rnacentral:tRNA from 1 species